rnacentral:rRNA from 1 species
AUACGUAGGUGGCAAGGCGUUGUCCGGAUUUACUGGGCGUAAAGAGUAUGUAGGCGGAUAUUUAAGUCAGAUGUGAAAUUCCCGGGCUUAACCUGGGAGCUGCAUUUGAUACUGGGUGUCUAGAGUGUGGAAGAGGUAAGUGGAAUUCCGAGUGUAGAGGUGAAAUUCGUAGAUAUUCGGAGGAACACCAGUGGCGAAGGCGGCUUACUGGUCCAUUACUGACGCUGAGGUGCGAAAGCGUGGGGAGC